rnacentral:lncRNA from 1 species
UUGUAACAACAGCAUAGGACACUGGUCAUCUGCAAAUAGUGUGUGGGUAGGUGUGUCACAGUAGUCAACUGUCUUCACACUGGCAGGAGCCUUUUCUAUGGGGCCUUCACAGGGCCUGGGCUGGAGCUGAAGCCUGGGUCUUAGCUGGAGCUUUGGCCUCUGCCUUGGUUUGAACCCUGGGCUUUGGUUGGCAGAGCCUAAGCCCCUUGGCCAUGUAGCUUCGAGUGUGCUUCCCAGGCUUGGGUGAGCGAUGAAAGCCAGGCGGCUGAGUCUGUGGCUGGGGCCCUUUGGAUUCUUGGGCCUGAUGGCCUGAGGCUUCACAGGGGCCUCGAUGGCCUCUAUGCGCACACUCACUGCCUUUGGAUUGCUGGCCUGCAUCUUCUUCAGGCCUUUCUUGUUGUACUUGUAGGCAAAGCACAUGCUCCUCAAAAACUUGGGGUCAACCCCCUUAAGAGAUUCGUGGCUUUGUGACCAGGGUUUCUUGGUGUCAUUUCUGUGUCAUUUGGGGGACUGGUUGUAUGUGGUAUGGUUCUUGGACUUGGCCAUGUCUGCAUGGUAACUGGAGGCUCUGUGCUUGUUUUUAAAAUAUGUCUCAGGCUGAAGAGAUGGCUCAGUGGUUAAGACU